rnacentral:rRNA from 1 species
CAAUAGCGUAUAUUAAAGUUGCUGCAGUUAAAAAGCUCGUAGUUGCAUUUCCGAGGCAAGGGAUUAGUCCGACCUUUGGUGGGUAUUUAAUCCUCUUGCCUCGUCCUUGAGUGGUGCUUCUUGGUAUUAAGUUAUCGAGGAGAUAGCCGCUGAUCGUUUACUGUGAGAAAAUUAGAGUGUUCAAAGCAGGCUUAUGCCGUUGAAUAUAUUAGCAUGGAAUAAUAAGAUAGGACCUCGGUACUAUUUUGUUGGUUUGAGAACCAAGGUAAUGAUGAAUAGGGACAGUUGGGGGUAUUCGUAUUCAGUUGUCAGAGGUGAAAUUCUUAGAUUUACGGAAGACGAACUACUGCGAAAGCAUUUACCAAGGAUGUUUUCAUUA